GCCCUGGCUGGGCGGUCCACCAUUGGCUGGUACUGCUCUGGCUGGGGUUCACUUUCUGGUGAUCCGGAAUGCCCUUCACUGGGUGUCCCGGGGAACCAGGACUUUUACUUUGAAAAAAUUAGAGUGUUUAAAGCAGGCCUAUGCUUGAAUACAUUAGCAUGGAAUAAUAGAAUAGGACCUCGGUUCUAUUUUGUUGGUUUCUAGGACCGAAGUA
rnacentral:rRNA from 1 species